CAUCAUUUUCGUGCCAUUGUCGAGCCGGGCACCGUAUAAUUACCCAUCGCGCUUGGAGUACACCAAAAGCUCGCUCCACAUCCUUCCUAGCACCCUCUUGUUUUUUCGCGAAGUAUGUUUGCUUCGGUCCAUGGUACACUUCUGGUAUGUCGAUAAGCCGGGUCGGCCGGAGGCAUCAUAUCGCAAGUUGAAGCACCUGAACCGCUGCGCCAAACACGUCGCUAUAUGGACGAAGAGACGUUGCGACAUUCUGAAUCGCCGACGGAAAAUUUCUGCCGGAUAACGGGCGUUCUCGUUGAAGUAGUCCUCCAUCAACCGGCGGUCAGCCCCGGUAUGAUCACGAUCGAAAAAUCGCCGAUGAUAGAAUGGCCGAGGGACCGCCGCCGCCGCCUCAGCCGCGGCCUCCGCCGCAUCUUCCGCCUCGUCGGCUUCACGUUGCACCGCUGCAACAAGGUUUUGGAACUCCAGAUCUACCGCUUGUUGGAAUUGUUCAUCGUCGGAAUCCAUAGUUCCAAGGUUGUAUUGAAAUUGGAAGGAAAGAUUGGAGUAAAAUGGAAGUAAAAUGGUGUUGGAAAAAUGGAAAUGGGAAUCAUACUUUUUGUCAGUUGGUUGAGUAAGCCUCAAAAUUAGGUGUGGCUUAUGCUAUUCAACUAUUUUUGUCAUUUUGUAAAGCCUCCAAACCUGAGUAGGGGUGGCUUCUAAAAUCCUAAUCCCUCAGAAAGCUUUCAUCAUAGGGCAGCCUCUAAACCUGUAUAGGGGUGGCUUCUAAGGGUGCCUAUCACACAUAACAGCCUCCUAACCAUGUACAGGGGUGACUUGUAAUGUGAAAGUGUUUCUAUAAUGAAUUUGUAUGGUUUUUUAAGCUUAAUCCAUCAGACAACAUGUUUAAAUCAUGGACACAUAAGCCUCCUAACCUAAGCACAUGGGUGGCUUAUUAAUCAGAACAACUCAGCAACAAGCAACACAAACAAAAUCAUCACAGGGAACACACCCGCAUCAGCAAACCAUACAAAAUCAUCACAGAGAACACACCAACAUCAGCAAACCAUACAAAAUCAUCACAGGGAACACAUCAGACACAACAAACCAUACAAAUGCCUCAAUAUGAGCAACACAAACAUCAUAAGCAUUUAUCACAACCACAACAGCAACAUAAAACAACAACCAAAGCCUUCAAUCCCACAUCAUCCAAACCAAUUCACACCCACAUACUACAGAUCAGACAACAACCAUGGCAUCCAACCCAACAGCCUCCAAACCAAUCCACACCCACAACCUCCAGUGUAAACACCCAGAAACCGUAAAUCAAUCCAAACCCCCAACCUCCAAAUCCAUCAACACCUACAGCCUCCAGAUUGAUCAACCACCAGAAACCCUAAAUCAACUCAAACCCCCAGCCUCCAAACCCAUCUACACCCGCCAGAUACCCUAAAUCAAUGCAAACCCCCAGCCUCCAGACCCAUCCACACCCUCGGGCUCCAAACCAUCGAACAACCACACCAUCCAAACACAAAUCAUCACCCGAAAGAUUGGAAUUUGAGGGACAACAUACUUAGAUUAGAUCCAAAAACCUAGGCAGCAAUAUCGCAAGCAUUUCCCUCUCAACAGCCGAAUACACGAUGGGAGGAGCUUGAGGUAAGUUGACAGAGUUGGAUGGUGGUGUUGGACCGUAGCAAGGGGUGGCUGGGGGUGGUGGACCGUAGUAUGGGGUGGCUGGGGGUGGUGGGCCGUAAUACGGGAUAUGUGAUGGUGGUGGUGGACCGUAGUAUGGGCUUUCAGAGCCAAAGUACUCAAACAUCUCAGAUGGGGGAGGUUUUCAGGUUCCGUUUCAGGGACGACGGUGUCGGUAAAGGUUCCGACAUGAUAGGGGGCGACAAUGGGUGGGUAUGAUGGCCAAAGAUGCUCUGGCGUGUCUGGGACGACGAGGUCAUCCAGAUCGUCGGACGACAAACAAGGCCAUGAGUCGGGAUCCCCGGCCAUCUCACCAAAAUUAGGGUUUCUUUGAGAAAUUUGGACGGAGGCGAAGGGGCGACAAAAUUAGGGUUUUCGGUCGGUGAAAUAUGCGGUGGAUGGUGGCUGAAAUCUAAUUGUGGAGGAAGGAGGUGCUCCACGACCUAGGGUUUCAGUGGAGUGAAGGAGGCGGUGGGUGGAUGGGGGGAUGGAUUUCGAGCAUUUAAAUGAGAGAGGCGAUGGAGGAAGGUGAUGCGUUUAAUGGGGAAGGUGGGUGGGUGGUUGAAUGGCAUUGAUGGAGGCGGUGGGGUGGUUGAAUUGCAUUGAAGGCGGCGGUGGAUGGUUGCACAACAUUGAAGGAGAGAGUGUUUAGGGAGGCGAGGCGGUGGGAGUGUUGAGGGAGGCGAAAGGGUGGAGAGAAAAUGAUCACCCGAUUGCAAAAUGAGAUGGGGUCAAAGUGUAAAUACCAUGAAUGUGGAGGAGUAUAAAGAUAUGUCCAUUUUUAGUAAGUUUGAAGUGAGACAAAUUUUUCAGGGACGGAUCGAAUGGUAAACUGGGACGAAUUCGGUUAGUUAUAGUUAUAUAUCACAAUAUUUUACAAUGUUUUAACAAAUACGGAGUAUAUUUCAAAUUUUCUGUAAAGUACUAUCAAUUUUAUAUUUAUUUUUAAACACUUUUAUUAAAUUUAUCAUCAAAUUCAAUUCCUGGUAUCAUAUUGGUCUUAUGUGAAAAGAGAUAUGGGAGAAGAUUGAGAUGCACAGGGAUUUCAUGGGCUUAUUGAUGUAUACAUAAACUGAAGGGAUUUUAGAAGUCGUUUGUUGAAGGGAUUAUCAGGUUUAUAUCGUGACCUACAGACAACUCAAGUGUGAAGUCUUUUGGAGGUAUGGGGUUGGCUUCAAAGUGUUUUCCUGGAAACAACGGUUGUAGUGGCAGCCCAGGCCCCAAAAUAUGGUGCUUAAGCGGCAUAUCAUCAAAACUAACAAGUUCGAAGGCGACUGCAACCAACAAGAUUUUACGUUGUUUAUCAUUCUAUAGAUAGAUGAACUAAUG